ACUCCUACGGGGAGGCAGCAGUGGGGGAAUAUUGCACAAUGGGGGGAAACCCUGAUGCAGCCAUGCCGCGUGUGUGAAGAAGGCCUUCGGGUUGUAAAGCACUUUCAGUAGGGAGGAAGGUAGUGUAGUUAACACCUGCAUUAUUUGUACGUUACCUACAGAAGAAGCACCGGCUAACUCCGUGCCAGCAGCCGCGGUAAGUACGGAGGGUGCGAGCGUUAAUCGGAAUUACUGGGCGUAAAGCGCAUGCAGGCGGCCGUGUUAAGUCAGAUGUGAAACGCCCGGGGUCUUAACCGUCGGAAUUGCAUUUGAAACUGGCGAGGCGUAGAGUCUUGUAGGAGGGGUUAGAAUUUCGAGGUGUAGCGGUGAAAUGCGUAGAGAUCGUG
rnacentral:rRNA from 1 species